CCUACGGGGGACAGCAGUGAGGACUAUUGGUCAAUGGACGAGAGUCUGAACCAGCCAAGUAGCGUGAAGGAUGACUGCCCUAUGGGUUGUAAACUUCUUUUAUAAAGGAAUAAAACGAGGCACGUGUGCCGUUUUGCAUGUACUUUAUUAAUAAGGAUCGGCUAACUCCGUGCCAGCAGCCGCGGUAAUACGGAGGAUCCGAGCGUUAUCCGGAUUUAUUGGGUUUAAAGGGAGCGUAGAUGGGUUGUUAAGUCAGUUGUGAAAGUUUGCGGCUCAACCGUAAAAUUGCAAUUGAUACUGGCAGUCUUGAGUACAGUUGAGGUAGGCGGAAUGCGUGGUGUAGCGGUGAAAUGCUUAGAGAUCACGAAGAACCCCGAUUGCGAAGGCAGCUUACUAAACUGUGACUGACAUUGAUGCUCGAAAGUGUGGGUAUCAAACAGGAUUAGAUACCCGAGUAGUC
rnacentral:rRNA from 1 species